rnacentral:rRNA from 1 species
ACACGUAAACAACCUGCCUUCAGGAUGGGGACAACAGACGGAAACGACUGCUAAUACCGAAUAAGUUCCAAGAGCCGCAUGGCCCAUGGAAGAAAAGGUGGCCUCUACCUGUAAGCUAUCGCCUGAAGAGGGGUUUGCGUCUGAUUAGCUGGUUGGAGGGGUAACGGCCCGCCAAGGCGACGAUCAGUAGCCGGUCUGAGAGGAUGAACGGCCACACUGGAACUGAGACACGGUCCAGACUCCUACGGGAGGCAGCAUG